rnacentral:rRNA from 1 species
UUGAGAUGGCCUCUCGCCCUAUUCAGUGUAACAGCUGUGGUAGUGGGUUUGGUCGCUCGCAUUUAAAUUGGAAGGGUAAUGGUGGACCGCACUUCUCCCUUAGUAGGACGUUGCGACCUGUCAAAUAAUAUCCUAAGUAUUUGGCUAAUUUGUCUGUUUUUAGGCAGUACUGAAAGGUAUUUCCUUUAACAGUUUUAGCCGUUAACAUACUGGAUAUAAUUGACAGUAACGAAUCAUGGUGUUGAGCCACUUACUUUGUAAGUGUCCUUUAUGGCUGUUUGCAAGUGGGUUGGUUAAUUAGUUUUAGUCGGAUUUUGGUCCGUCUAACUAUUCCGCCUACUGUUGGUAAACUGUUCCUUGGACAGUGCUUAUAACACCGGUCGGCAGCGAUUCAGGUUCAGGCUCUUAUCCGAC